AUGUCAAAUAUUCUCUUCCCCAAAAAAUUCUUGGCCAAACUUACUGCUAUCAUUAGGAACUUCUGGUGGACAGGAGUUAGGGAAGAAGCUAAUGCCAAAUCUCUUUGUCUUAGAGCUUGGAAGGACAUUUGUGCUCCAAAAAAUGAAGGGGGACUAGGAAUCAAGAAUAUUCAAGCUACCAACAGGUGUCUCAUUCUUGCAGCUGCUUGGAGAAUUGUUGAAAAGCCUGACAGCCAUCUAUCAAAAAUCUUCAAAUCUAAAUACUUUCCUGACUCCUCUCUUUGGAGAGCCAAUUAUAAUAUUCCCAAAUCUGCCUUUUGGGCCUCCAUUCUUAAAGUUAGGCCAAUUCUUAUUAGAAAUUCUUUUUUCCAAAUCAGGGCUGGCAAUAUCUCUCUUUGGAGCUCUCCGUGGUUUAACACUUGGGAAAGUAUUUAUGAUCAUCUCAUAAUUCAAGAUAAUGAUUUUAUCUAUCCGGCUCUUAUUAGAGAUCUUUGGAUUCCAGGGCAGAAAAAAUGGAAUGUUAAUCUCAUAGAUCUUUUAUUUGAUUCUGAUACAGCUAAUUCCAUCAAGCAGGUGCCAAUCAUACAGGAAGAAGGUGAAGAUAUUUUAUGUUGGAAACACACACCAACAGGGAAAUUCACUACAAAAAGUGCAUAUAAAACUUGUUUCCAGGUCUUGCAAGAGGAAGGAGAGCCACAACCUAGAACUCUAAACAGUAAUUUAAAAGAACUCUUAAAGCAGGUAUGGAAGGACAGAAAUAUGGCUCCUAGAAUCCAAACAUUUGCAUGGAGACUGGUAAGAAAAGCUUUACCUACAGGGAAGAGAGCAGGUAAGUAUUCUAAGCACAUUAGUAAGUUCUGCUCAAGAUGUGGCUUAGAAGAGGAUGAGAUGCACAUAUUUUUCAACUGUGUUUAUGCUAGAGCUGCAUGGUUUGCAAACCCCUGGUACAUUAGAACUGAUUUGUUGUGUCAGAAUUUAGAUUCUUUAGUUACUACCAUCUUAAACUUAGCUAAUUCAAAUCAUCCAAAUGCAACCUUAAGUAAUAUUUUCAUUUUUUUGUGGUGCCUUUGGAAGUUCAGGAAUGACAAAGUUUUUCAAAGAAAAGAUGCAUCUCCAAUACAGGUAUUCCAUGCGGCUCAAGCAAUCAUAAACAGUUUGUCUUUGGAACAAAAUAUAAAUAUGCAGGAAACAGCUACUUCUGAAACAGGAAAGGAUUGCAAGCAUAAGGAAGACAAAUAUGUUCAAGGGAAUACAGUUAAUCUGACUGAAAUUUCAACCUCAACGAAAAUAUUCACGGAUGCAGCUUGGAAUAAACAGGAACAAUCAAGUGUGAACGGAACAGGGAAAACAGGUAUCGGGAUAUCCAUAGAAGGACAAGAAAGACGAACAAAAUGGCAGAUCAAGAUUUCCGCAACAGCAAUGCAAGCUCAAUCAGCGAUACAUGCCGAAGCCUUGGCGAUCAAGUUAGCAGCCAUCAUCAUAAACAUGACAGGAAUACAUGAGGCUGCCAUUCUAACGGAUAAUUUAACUUUAGCAAAAGCAGCAGCGGCAAAGGAACCAACCAGGCAGCCUGGACACUGGAUGAUUAGAGGUAUAUUAGCAGAUUUCUGUGCCCUCACAAGCUCAAGCCAUGUCCAGGUAUUCCAUGUAAGAAGGAACCAAAACUCGGUAGCUCAUGAUGCAGCAAAGCUAGCUUAUUCGCAGGAAUUUAAUCCAAAUCAACACUGUGUAACUACUUGUACUAUUGCUGAACAUCAACGCUGGCAUCAUUCCCUGAAGCAGGUUAUCCAAGAUGUAUCACAAAAGGGUUAUGCCAUUAAUCAUGUAAGCUGUUGUUAUAAUGAAUGA
rnacentral:rRNA from 1 species